UACGGAGGGUGCAAACGUUGCUCGGAAUCAUUGGGCGUAAAGCGCACGUAGGCGGCGCGUUAAGUCGGAUGUGAAAGCCCCGGGCUCAACCCGGGAAGUGCAUACGAAACUGGCGCGCUUGAAUAUGGAAGAGGGUCGCGGAAUUCCCGGUGUAGAGGUGAAAUUCGUAGAUAUCGGGAGGAACACCAGUGGCGAAGGCGGCGACCUGGGCCAAUAUUGACGCUGAGGUGCGAAAG
rnacentral:rRNA from 1 species